rnacentral:rRNA from 1 species
CCUACGGGUGGCAGCAGUGAGGAAUAUUGGUCAAUGGACGCAAGUCUGAACCAGCCAUGCCGCGUGCAGGAAGACGGCCCUAUGAGUUGUAAACUGCUUUUGUACGAGGGUAAACGCAGAUACGCGUAUCUGUCUGAAUGUAUCGUAUGAAUAAGGAUCGGCUAACUCCGUGCCAGCAGCCGCGGUAAUACGGAGGAUUCAAGCGUUAUCCGGAUUUAUUGGGUUUAAAGGGUGCGUAGGCGGUCGGAUAAGUUAGAGGUGAAAUCCCGAGGCUCAACUUCGGAAUUGCCUCUGAUACUGUGCGGCUAGAGAGUAGUUGAGGUAGGCGGAAUGUAUGGUGUAGCGGUGAAAUGCUUAGAGAUCAUACAGAACACCGAUUGCGAAGGCAGCUUACCAAGCUACUACUGACGUUGAGGCACGAAAGCGUGGGGAGCAAACAGGAUUAGAUACCCCAGUAGUC